rfam:Larimichthys crocea isolate SSNF unplaced genomic scaffold scaffold220, whole genome shotgun sequence.
GUUGCAGGUACGGUGACAUGGUGCCAAAAACAAUCGUGGGGAAGGUGUUUGGGUCCAUAUGCUCUCUGAGUGGGGUGCUGGUCAUCGCCUUGCCUGUCCCUGUCAUCGUGUCAAAC